CAUGUUUCAUGUUACAGAUGUUCUCCUGCUCAGAGGUUCGUGGUGGCACCCUUCUUCAUGGGACUUUGUUUCCCUUUGCAAAAGCCUGAGUGUCAUUCCAUUGCAUUAAUGGAUACUUAACAUGGUACCAAGUAUUUUUUGGAGCAGACUUGGACAACUCCUGCUUUUCCAGAAGCAUUCUUCCCAUCUUAUCCCCAGACAGGCAGCUCACACUGCACAGCCCCAACCCUUGCAAGAUGUUUUCCCAGUUUAUCAACUUUUCCCCUUUAGUUUCUGAGUGCAUGAGCUCCUCAACUCCUUCUGAUAUUGCCAGUCUUAGUUCAGGCCUUGGACCUUCCACCUGAAGUAAAACAUGGCAUUUUUCCACCUAAAAUGAAGAGCUGUCUGCAAAGGACCUGUCUGAAUGCCACAGCCAAUGCAGCUUUCCACACAUGGCACAGAGAUGGAAGCACAACCAGGAGAAGGGAGAAAUCCAGCAUUUGGAAGACUGCACCUUUGUCUGAGUAUAUAAAUAAAGCAGGAGUUUAUCAUAAUUUAUUUAUAAAAACUAUUUCUAAUCUAAUUCUUCACAUAUUAUCUGGGGGCAAGAGAGAUGAGACAAAAAAAAAUGGCUCUUAAUCAGGAGUUGCCACAUGGAGGGGUUUUGAUUAAUAUGCAAAACAUAGAUUAUAAAUAGAUUUAUAAAUAAAUGAUCAACUACGGCUGCUGCUUUAUUUAUCUAUGGACUUGCAGGAAAUUUGAAGGCUGAAUUCUGAUUAAAUGAGAAUCGCCACUAAUGGCGCACUGGAUGGCUCAAAGGGGCCAGUAAAGCAAAGUGAGAAUGCAUUUGCAUAGCACCUUUGAUUCGUAAGAACUCCCAAAUGCUUUGCAGAAUUAAUAUUAUGUUUUAGGGGUCACUUCAUCCAUUACUGAAAUACAGCCUCGGAGGAGGAAAGGUAACUAUCUGCAUGUAUUCCCUCAAAGAUCUCAAAGCACUUUGCACAUUAAUUAAGCCUUACAUUGUUUCUAUGCAAUCCAUCCCUCCAGCAAAUUGCUAAGCCUGUGCUACCUGAAGUACUGGGAAUAAAACCAAGGAAAAUUCAUCAGCUCUUCCUUGGUCUGACUUCUCUUUACAUCCAGAUCAUCCCGCUGAUGUCAGCGGGCACCUCAAGGUGUUCCCACCUGAGUGGCAAUGCAGAUCCCAAAGCACUACAUUCAAACAGCGCAGGGAUUAGACCCCUUCUGCUCACUGUUAGCUCGACCCAAAUUUCACAACCAGUAGCAGUGUAUGACCCUGCUGCAGCCAACCCUCAACCCCAACAUUGGCAGCUCUGAACUAGGAGUCCCCAUUGCCAGUUCCCAGAUCCCUCCUGCCACAGAGGCACGCACAUCGCCAUGAGGCUGAAGCUCAGCACGACAACAGAUGCCUCGUUCCCUCCAACAGCACUCAGAGGGCACAGGAGAAGCACAUACCUGCUGAAUGUGCCCGCGACUCGAUUCAGCUGCUCCCAUUUACAAAGCCUCUUAAAAAGAAGAAAGUCAAAGCAUUUUUUUUUUUUUCCCACAUGGCAAAGCUGUCCUGCCAGUCAGUUUUCACAGCUGAGCACUUCCCAAGGUGCCAGUUCUGCGAUUCAGGGCUGGAUGUGAUCCCCUGAGCAUGAUGUGGAGCUGUAGGAUGAAGGCACAAUGAACAGCCCCAGCUGUGCAGGUACACACGGAUCAGCAUGGCUGUACCUCCCUUCUUCUCCCAUCUUGUGCUGGGGGAGGGUUCCUAUGGCAGGGGAAGAUGUGGGAGCUCAUAGACAUUGCUGGGGGCUCGGCCAUGUAUAGGUCACACCUCACCCAAAUGUGAGCCUGUACUUAUUGGGUCCAACUGAAUUACCUGUUUCGUGGCAGGUUUGGGAGAUUCUUCUUCCAUCCCUUAUUUUUGUCCAUCUCAUUCCUGAUUUCUUCAUCACAACAACCAGGAGAAAAAAAAACCAACACUUUUCCCCUAAUAAACCAAGCCAACCUCCAAGCUUACCCCUCUCCCACUUCCCUCUCCACGUUUCCAAAUGUCCCUACAAAGGGAUUUCAUUCCAAACCACUCUGAUUAUUGACCAUUUCCACGCUGAGCCCAGAUUCUUCUUCCAAAGUUGGACUCCACAUGGAAGAAACCACAUGCUGACAGCACCCUGCUUCCUCUCCACCCAGCAAGUUAGCAACAUGGACACUCUAUGGCCUAAACACAAAGAAUUUUACCACAGCAAUAAUAGUCUGUCUGGGAAGGAUGUUACAAGUCACUGCCCAAUUAGAAGAACGUUGAAUGCACGGAAAUGCCUUUUGAAUAAACACUUGAUAACCCUCAAUAAAACUGUAAGAGAGAGUUACUGCAGAUUUACUACCCAGGAAAGAAAAGCCCUUCACGGCACCACUAGGAGCUUAUUGCUUCUGUUUAAUGCUGAUAAAUGCAAGAGAUUCACAGUUCCACAGCAGCCUGGGGUAGACCAGCUUAGCAGGAAAAUAAAAUUGAGGUCUUAUGAUCUGCCUACAGAGAGAUGGAGGAGAACCACAUUGCCACCACAUCUUCCAGUUGCAUGUUCCGCAUAGUACUGCACACACCAUGGGACACAUCAAUCCUCAGGAAGCCAGCAGACACAUAGCUGGUGCAGAUGGGUUUGUCCCAGGCCCUGCCAGAGCAUGGUGAGCUUGUGUGGGUGGGAGCACCAUGGGUGGGAUCCCCCCCCCCUUGGUUUCUGUAUAUAGGUGUUCUUCUCCAGAAAGUGCAGCUGUGGCACAUCUGCAGCAGUGACAAGCCCUCUCCUUCUGCUGCCUCACCUGAAGAAAAGGAGCACCAUGAAAGGAGCCCAGUGACCAGCCCUACUGCUUCUGCUGUGGGGAUGCUCAAGCAACAUUUGAAUUUUCUAAAAAAAUGUGGCUGGUGAGGAGGAAGGAAGGGGUUGGCUCUAUUUAUGCUAAUCCAUGUUUCCCAGCUCCCCAGGCAGCGGUCCUUCCUGCACCAGCCCAAUGGGGAUAUUCACAGCCCCAGGGAGGACACCACUGCACAUUUGUUCCACAAAUGAACCUUGACAUAAAGGUCUUACCCUUGCUGAUGAGCACUGAUGUACUGUUCACUGUAUUCACAGUUCUUGGUGAUAGGGAAAUAUUUACAGGGUAAUUUUUUCCCCUUCCUUAAGAAAGGAACAGUGGGGAACAGCCCAGUGCUCAAAAAAUAAACACCCAAUCAAAAUCAUUACUGCUUAUCAUCUUGACCUAAACAUAUUUCCUCCUUAGUGACCCAGUAUGUGUGUCUGACCCUCUGGGGGACACCCAGAGCUGGGUUGCAAGCCAUGCCCUGCAGAACCAUUGCCAUCCUUGGCAGGACAAGGGGCAUGCUGCCAUUUCCAAGGCAGUCACUGAGAUGGCACUGCAUGGACAGAGUGCCACAGAACCCCACAGUCCACUUCUGGGUACUAAAUUUGCUCUAAAGCGCAAAUUUCUUUUCAUUGGGCAUUUAAGCACAGGCAUUGGAAAGAUUUUGGUCUCCAACAAAUAGCUCAUUAAAGCAAGAGAUCUAAAUGAAAUCACUUACAUAUUCAACCUGCACACUUGAGAGGUCAGAAGCCCUACAUGAUGUGUCCCAUGUACCUGCUGCAUGGCAGCAGAUUGACUCCCGUGUUGCACUUCCAGACCAGGGCUGGUUCUUUUCCAAGAAAGGGUCUGGGAUUGGGCCAACAAAGGGCAGCCUCCAUGGUCCAGCAACUUGUAUAUAACAGAGCCUACCUGGCCUCUUCAGCUGAUGGCAGUUCUUCCUACGGCAUGAAUGACAGCAGCUGAUGUUUGUUUUUUUUCAGCAGUUUGGAGUUGAGCGAGCAUCAGGUGGCUUUCAAAUGUUGGGGUGCCAAGAACAGAAGAAUGUUCUAAACCAAAACUACAACUAAGGAACAAAAUCUCUCAAUAAUGAGUCCAAUGGUGUUGGAUUGUCCAAAUUAUCUACUGGUCAUUUUCUGCCUCUUUAACAAUGGGGUGAACUUUGCUUACCUCCUACGUAAAUGUGAGAGGGAUGCUUAUCAGAAGAGGCUUAAUAGCUCCUAUAUCCCCUUAGCAAUCUACAUUUUGGAAAACACCUUCAAAAUAUAGGUCCAAUUUUGUGUAAAAAAUGAAGCCACUUACACAUUCCUAGCAGGCUUCUGCAGCUCUUCACACUAAUUCAGUAAGAACAGUACGUGAAUUACAUACCACGUUGGUGUGUGAUCAGGCUGUGUGUGCUCUUACAGCAACACUAUGUCCUUUUACGCCAUCUCCUGCAUCAGUAAAUAAAAAGGAGUAAAGUCUGCUUUAUGUGAUAUCAGAUAAAUUGUCUUGUUAAGAUCUGAAAACAGGAAAUAUUCAGACACCAAACUGCCAUGAAAGCAAAGGCUGUCAGAGGACGAUCUUCUGAUCCUGACAUUUAGGCUGGAAUUGGUUAAAAAGCAGGAAUAAGACCAUACAAAAUACAAAACUUCUGUUUUCACAAAAACAAACACACACAUCCAACCUGAAUCUGCAGUGCUUUCAGUUAAUAAUAUAAAAUAACCCUCCAGGCUCCCACUAUUAUUUCUUGUCCAAACAUAAUAUUAAAUGUGAUCCAAAAUUGUAGUAAUUAAAGGAACAAUGUCAAAUUUAAUUAUUAUCGGACCUCCCAAUUUCAAAUAAUAGUAUAAAAAUUCUGGCACUGGUUUUAUUUUUUAUUAUUAUUUUGUGAAUGCUGAAUAUGGUUCAUAUCUCACAAAUAGGAGGGGAGUCAACUCUUUACAAGGGUAGAUAAUGCCAGGAUAAGGGGAGAUGGUUUUAAUUUGAAGGAGGGAAGAUUUAGGUUGGGUAGCGGGGGGAAGUUCUUUACUAUGAGAGUGUUGAGGUGCUGGAACAGCUGCCCAGAGAGGCUGCAUAUGCCCCGUCCAUCCCUGGAGGUGUUCAAGGCCAGGUUGGAUGGGGCCCUGGGCAGCCUGGGCUGGUAUUAAAUGUGGAGGUUGGUGGCCGUGUGUGCAGCAAGGGGGUUGCAGCUUCAUGAUCCUUGAGGUCCCUUCCAACCCAAGCCAUUCUACGAUUCAAUCAUUCUCUUCUUUCCCUUCACUGAGUGCAGUAAAGUGACUGCUGUCCUGGCUCUUGGCUCUUGCCCCGAUUCCCCUCAUCUAGAAGCAUUUUUCUUUAACUGCUUCAUUUCUCUCAAUGCCAAGCGAGGUUUUGAAGCAUACAGGAAGUUUUGAAAAGAUACUGAUGAAAGAACAAAGUGUAAAAUGGGGCAGAAAAAUGAAGUAACACCUGCACAAUGCUAUUUCAGUUGAAGGGGAAAAUAUUUGGAAAAUAAAAAGAGAAAGCUUGUAAGCCCUGCUUGUGGAGUCCUUUGCGGUUUUGCAGAAUUCUGUCUAGAAGAGCAAAAGAGGAACACCCUCUGGAGAUACGAUGCAAUUUUGGUUUAGAGAUAUGAAAACAUUUUUGUUGCAGAGCAAAAUUUCUAAUUUAAAAUACUGAAAAACAUCAGAGCCACAACUGAUUGGGAACUGCAGUUUGAAAUUCUUUCUGCAGUACAGUUUGCUUCGUUUUGACCGAAGCUGCAAAUGUUGCAGCAGACUCUCACUCAGCCCUA
ensembl:lncRNA